UGGGUGGAUCCUCUAUUUCCCUAUGCGGGCCACUGGAUGGCUCCUCCAUGUCUUGGAGUAGAUCAGUAGGCAGCU
ensembl:miRNA microRNA 432